rnacentral:rRNA from 1 species
GAUGAACGCUAGCUACAGGCUUAACACAUGCAAGUCGAGGGGCAGCAUGAACAUAGCUUGCUAUGUUUGAUGGCGACCGGCGCACGGGUGCGUAACACGUAUCCAAUCUGCCCGUUACUCGGGGAUAGCCUUCUGAAAGGAAGAUUAAUACCCGAUGGCAUUCAUUAGCGGCAUCGCUUUUGGAUUAAAGAUUUAUCGGUAACGGAUGAGGAUGCGUGACAUUAGAUAGUAGGCGGGUAACGGCCCACCUAGUCUACGAUGUCUAGGGGUUCUGAGAGGAAGGUCCCCCANACUGGAACUGAGACACGGUCCAGACUCCUACGGGAGGCAGCAGUGAGGAAUAUUGGUCAAUGGUCGGAAGACUGAACCAGCCAAAGUAGCGUGAAGGAUGAAGG